AGUGAACGCUGGCGGUAGGCCUAACACAUGCAAGUCGAACGACAGCACAGUAAGAUUUUGCUCUUACGGUUGGCGAGGGGCGGACGGGUGAGGCAUAGAUAGGAAUCUACUUUUUCGUGGGGGAUAACGUAGGGACAGUGAUGCUACUAGCGAAUACUUUCUACGGGUGAAAGCAGGAGAUCUACGCAGUCUGCGCGUCUGUAAGAGCCGAUGUCGGAUUAGCUAGUUGGUGGGGUAACGGCCCACCAAGGCAACGAUCCGUAGCUGAUCUGAGAGGAUGAUCGGCCACACUGGAACUGAGACACGGUCCAGACUCCUACGGGAGGCAGCAGUAGGGAAUAUUCGGCAAUGGGCGAAAGCCUGACGCAGCCAUACCGCGUGAGUGAUGAAGGCCUUCGGGUUGUAAAGCCCUUUUGUUGGGGAAGAAAAGCUGCGGAUUAAACCGCCGACAUUCUGACGGUACCCAAUGAGAAAGCACCGGCUAACUUCGUG
rnacentral:rRNA from 1 species